GACGAACGCUGGCGGCAUGCCUAACACAUGCAAGUCGAGCGAGCAGAUCCCUUCGGGGUGAAGCUAGCGGCGGACGGGUGAGUAACACGUGGGCAACCUGCCUCAUAGAGGGGAAUAGCCUUCCGAAAGGAAGAUUAAUACCGCAUAGGAUUGUGGCUUCGCAUGAAGCAGCAAUUAAAGGAGCAAUCCGCUAUGAGAUGGGCCCGCGGCGCAUUAGCUAGUUGGUGAGGUAACGGCUCACCAAGGCGACGAUGCGUAGCCGACCUGAGAGGGUGAUCGGCCACAUUGGGACUGAGACACGGCCCAGACUCCUACGGGAGGCAGCAGUGGGGAAUAUUGCACAAUGGGGGGAACCCUGAUGCAGCAAUGCCGCGUGAGUGAUGACGGCCUUCGGGUUGUAAAGCUCUGUCUUCGGGGACGAUAAUGACGGUACCCGAGGAGGAAGCCACGGCUAACUACGUGCCAGCCGCCGCCGUAA
rnacentral:rRNA from 1 species